rnacentral:rRNA from 1 species
AGAGUUUGAUCCUGGCUCAGGAUGAACGCUAGCUACAGGCUUAACACAUGCAAGUCGAGGGGCAGCAUAACGAAAGCUUGCUUUUGUUGAUGGCGACCGGCGCACGGGUGAGUAACGCGUAUCCAACCUUCCCUGUAGUAGAGGAUAGCCCGGCGAAAGUCGGAUUAAUACUCUAUGUUGUAUUUAGAGGACAUCUGAAGAAUACCAAAGGUUUACCGCUAUAGGAUGGGGAUGCGUCUGAUUAGGUUGUUGGCGGGGUAACGGCCCACCAAGCCCACGAUCAGUAGGGGUUCUGAGAGGAAGGUCCCCCACAUUGGAACUGAGACACGGUCCAAACUCCUACGGGAGGCAGCAGUGAGGAAUAUUGGUCAAUGGACGUAAGUCUGAACCAGCCAAGUAGCGUGCAGGAUGACGGCCCUAUGGGUUGUAAACUGCUUUUAUAUGGGGAUAAAGUGAGGGACGUGUCCCUUUUUGUAGGUACCAUAUGAAUAAGGACCGGCUAAUUCCGUGCCAGCAGCCGCGGUAAUACGGAAGGUCCGGGCGUUAUCCGGAUUUAUUGGGUUUAAAGGGAGCGCAGGCUGAUGAUUAAGCGUGACGUGAAAUGUAGCCGCUCAACGGCUGAACUGCGUCGCGAACUGGUUAUCUUGAGUGAGUUCGAUGUUGGCGGAAUUCGUGGUGUAGCGGUGAAAUGCUUAGAUAUCACGAAGAACUCCGAUUGCGAAGGCAGCCAACAAGGCCUUUACUGACGCUAAAGCUCGAAGGUGCGGGUAUCGAACAGGAUUAGAUACCCUGGUAGUCCGCACGGUAAACGAUGGAUGCCCGCUGUUUGCGAUAUACUGUGAGCGGCCAAAAAAAAAUCGUUAAGCAUCC